rnacentral:lncRNA from 1 species
UCUCACGCAGCUGCCCGCGCUCCGGCUGCCUGCGGCUUUCCGCCCGCCGCCCUUUCGUCCCCACCCCCCGGCGCUCUCCGCCCCAGCCCCCACCGAGCCGCCUUCCCCGGCUCCUCCACUAGGUGUGGCGCGACGACGGCGUCUCCGGCAGCUGAGAACGAGGCCGCUUCCCGCAGCCACAAGCGGAGCGCUCGGUCACCUGAUCGAGCGCGCCGGCGCCCCCGCGGGGCUGGACAAGGAACUGCGCCCAGCGGGCACUCAACCAACCCCUCGCCGCGCGGACGCCCCAACUGGGAACCGGACCCGGAUCGGACCUGGACCCCUUCCUGUUCCAGAUUCCGGAAAGGGAGUCCUCAGCGGGAACACAAUACAUGGUUGGCUGCUUUCUUAAUAAAAUGUGCAGUGUUCUGAAGUGAUCCUGUGAUGUCUGCAAUUACAUAAGCCAUAGUUAUUCUGCCACA